rnacentral:rRNA from 1 species
UCCUUCGGGAAUGAGUAUAGUGGCGCACGGGUGAGUAACGCGUAGGUGACCUACCCUUUAAAUGGGGACAACAGAGAGAAAUCUCUGCUAAUACCGGAUAAGCUGAUCGAAGAUGAAACUAGAUCAGGAAAGAUGGCGAAAGCUAUCGUUAAAGGAAGGGCCUGCGUUCCAUUAGUUUGUUGGUGGGGUAACGGCCUACCAAGACUACGAUGGAUAACUGGUCUGAGAGGAUGAUCAGUCACACUGGAACUGAGACACGGUCCAGACUCC